GUGAACGCUGGCGGUAGGCCUAACACAUGCCAGUCGAACGGCAGCACAGUAAGAGCUUGCUCUUACGGGUGGCGAGUGGCGGACGGGUGAGGAAUACAUCGGAAUCUACUUUUUCGUGGGGGAUAACGUAGGGAAACUUACGCUAAUACCGCAUACGACCUACGGGUGAAAGCAGGGGAUCUUCGGACCUUGCGCGAUUGAAUGAGCCGAUGUCGGAUUAGCUAGUUGGCGGGGUAAAGGCCCACCGAGGCGACGAUCCGUAGCUGGUCUGAGAGGAUGAUCAGCCACACUGGAACUGAGACACGGUCCAGACUCCUACGGGAGGCAGCAGUGGGGAAUAUUGGACAAUGGGCGCAAGCCUGAUCCAGCCAUACCGCGUGGGUGAAGAAGGCCUUCGGGUUGUAAAGCCCUUUUGUUGGGAAAGAAAAGCAGCAGGUUAAUACCCCGCUGUUCUGACGGUACCCAAAGAAUAAGCACCGGCUAACUUCGUG
rnacentral:rRNA from 1 species